ensembl:piRNA 21ur-15643 ncRNA
CACUAAUCCAACACCUACGAU